GAUGAAGAACGCAGCGAAAUGCGAUAAGUAAUGCGAAUUGCAGAAUCCGUGAGUCAUCGAAUCUUUGAACGCACAUUGCGCCCUUUGGUAUUCCGAAGGGCAUGCCUGUUCUAGCGUCAUUAUCACCCCUCAAGCCCCGGCUUGGUGUUGGGCUCUCGGUGGUCGUCUCCGACCACCCGUCUCAAAGAUAGUGACGGCGUCCCAGAGGGAACCGGUACGAGGAGCUUUCACGAGCAUGUACGCGGGACGACUCUGCGGGCGACGGUCUUAUUUACUUUAUAUACAAGUGUUGACCUCGGAUCAGGUAGGAAUACCCGCUGAACUUAAGCAUAUCAAUAAGCGGAGGA
rnacentral:misc_RNA from 1 species